GCCGGGGUGGCGAAAUUGGAAUACGCGCGAGACUUAGGAUCUCGUGGUCGAGAGACUGUGCGGGUUCGAGUCCCGCCCUCGGCACCA
rnacentral:tRNA from 2 species